AUAAUAAAAUAGGUAAAUAAAUGAAAAAGUGAAAAAUGCCUUGUAAUUUCCAAACGAUCUUUAUUUCUUCUCAAAUAUAUAUUUUGUUUUUCCUAUUAUGCUUUGUUUAUUAGCCAUGUCCCUAACCUAUUUUACAUCCUAGCAGAAGUCCUUGAUUUUAGGGAAGUAUAGUCUAAGUAGAAGUUGGUAAUACUAAACGAUGUGAUGAUGCAUAAAACUAAAUACCAAUAAUAUUAUUGGUUGAUUAGUAAUUUGUUUGACUUGAGAUCAUAUUCUUUUCUAAGCUAUAAACAUUAUUCCUACAUCUUGGUGAGAGUUUGUGAUAUUGUUUCUCUAUUAUUUUCUCUCAAUCUACCAUUUUUUGGAGUGACUGUUUUUAUUGGGUCUAUGUUCUUUUGAGAAUGGCAUUCUUCUCCAUAAAAAUUUUGGGGUUUAACAUGUCAUUCUUGAAAGUGACUUGAUUAAUUUAGCUUUGAUAAUUGAUCAUUUUGCAUAAGUUUACCGUACUAAUUUAUGUGAACUGUUGAUUUGAGAGUGGCUUUUCAAAGCCAGAGAUAAUGUCUAUACGUUUAUUUGAUUGUUGCCAUUAAUCUGAUUUAAUACAUAAAGACAAUUGCCCAAAAAAAUCAUUUUAGUUUGAAUUUUACUAGAUAUUAUCGCUUAAUUUGCUAAGGACUAGCUGUAAGCUGGUUAGGGGAUGUGUUGAGUGAUGGAGAAUGUAUAUUUAUAAAGGGUAAAAUCAUUAUUUUGCACUCUUAAGUCUCACAAACAUUUUCACUUUUAUGUAAUUAAGUCUUUUAAAUUUUGAUUGUCUGUGUUUUUUUAUACCUUGAGUAUUUUAUGUAUUUCAAGGAAAUUUUGGUCAUUUCAUUGACGAGAAAUCAGACAGCAAAAUAGAUAGCAUUUUUUAGCUCAAAAUAGUUUAAAACCUUAGGAAAUGAAUAAAGGAUAAAAUUGUAAUUUAAGAUUUUGGUGGGGCUAGGUGAUGUGGCAUCGAUUGAUGACAUGGCAGCAUUUUAUUGCGUUAACUGAUAAUGUGAUAGCAUUCUAUUAGACCAAAAAAUGAGCUUACAAUACAUGCAAUACAUUGAAUCAAUGAUAGUUGACUUUUCCAUUAACCAAUGAUGUGGUAGCAUAUUAUUGGACCAAAAAACGUGCAUACAUUACAUGUAAUUCACUGAAUCACAAUCAUGAUGACAUGCUCUAGCUAAUAAGAACUUGCCACGUGGCACAAUCUUAGGCACCGAGUUGUUUUCAUCUGAUGACCAGAUUGUUCGUUGUAUUUAUAAAUAAGGGAUUUUCCCGUAAUUCAACAGCUCUUAAUCAAAAUUUCAACUCCAUUUUCUAUAAUUCUCUCUCUAUCUUGUAUUUUCUACUUACUUUAACAAAUUAUCAUUUUAACCCUAGUUCAAUUAUGUGUAGCUACUUUAAUUUCAAGCUUGGGUUGAAGGUGAAGCCUCAAUAUGAUCUAUAGGCUUAAUUUGGUAAGUUUAUUAACCCUCUUUCUAUGAUUUAUAUAGACUAUUUAGACCCAUUGUUGACAAACAAUAAUAAUCUUGUCUAGAUUUUGCUUGGUAUGCCACCUCCCUAGUGCAAGAUCAUUACUAUUUGGCAAGAUGAGCACCUUACACUAUAUUUAUUAGCAAGAAACUCACCUCUAGUAUUAGUAGUUUGUUUUGACUCAGUGUUUAUAGAGAAUGCAUCUAAGUUAUUUAGUGGAUGGUUUUGCCACAUUGUCAACAGUAGGAUUAUUAUCACCUAGCAUAAUGUGUACUUGACACUACAUUUAAUAAAAAAAAAAUCUCCUAGUACAAUGAGUGCUUGAUAUCAUAUUUACCAAAAUGAGGAUUAUGAAGAAUGGAAAUACCCCCUCAUAAAUUAAUUUGAACUAAAAAAGAAUACUAAACUCAUAGUGAACUAUGAAGUAUGAGUCCAAAGACUCAAGUGUUUCAUUUGAAUUAUUUCAUCUUUAAUUUAUUCAUACUUCUUUUUUAUUUAAAUCUCAAUACUGCUUAGAAAUCACAUCCAACCAAUUUACAUAUAUACUUGGAAAAUUAACCUUACACAUAAU
rnacentral:lncRNA from 1 species